UCUUAAAGAAAAAUUAUAGUGAAAUUUGUGCACCUCAUAAAAAAUUUAUGGGGGUUUUGUUCCCUUAAACCCCCCCAAACUUUUGUGUACAUCUCAAUUAAAUUAUUAUUGUGGUACCAUUAGUUAAAUUCAAUAUUAUUAAAACUUUUUGGCCUCCUAGUAUUUUUUCGAUAAAGCAGUUUUUAUCGAGUUGAGGCUUAUUUUUUAAUAUGUUUACAUAAAUAUUUUAUGGGGGUUUUGUUCUUUUAAACCCCCCAAAUGUUUGUGUACGUUCCAAUUAUAUUGUCACUGCGCAACCAUUAGUUAAACACAGUGUUUUUAAAAUUUUUUUGCCUCUUUGUAUUUUUUCGAGAAGGCAUUUUUUAUAGAGAUGUGGCUUCUUUUUUAAUAUGGUUCAAAAUAUACCUAAAAAUGUAAAUCAUAAAUAUAUUUUCAUAUUAUUACCAAGUCUCCAUAAUCGUACUUAACCAUAUACAAAUAUGUGGUGGAUUUGACAAAUAUUCAAAAUAUCUCGAUAAAAACUGACUUUUCGAAAAAGUACUAAGAGGCAAAAAAGUCUUAGAAACAACGUGUUAAACUAAUGGUACUACAAUAAUAAUUUAAUUGGAACGUACACAAAAGUUUGGGGGGGUUUAAAGGAACAAAACCCCUAUAAAAUUUUUAUGGAGUGUAAAUUUCACUAUAAUUUUUUCUUAAGAUGCUACUACUGCCAUAAGAAUGCCACAUGUCCAUUUUUAAUAAAAAAUCUCUAAUAGUUUUCGAUAUAUUGGAAAAAAUAAAUUUUCAUUUUGUAACUUCAAAGGGCUGUAACUUUUUUAUGUGCACAUUUGUACUAAGGUAAGUUAGGUUCAGUCGAACUAUUUUUGGUCCCAGAAUAUGUGAUUAAAUUUAUGACCUGUAUUUUUGUUACACCCUGUAUAUAAUGCUUGCCCCCCCCUAUCAAAAUUUCAAAUGACGCUCCUGGGUAAGUAGAAUAGUGUUUUUUAUUAAUGAGUAAUCACAGUUCUUUUGGUUUAUUAUUAUAAAAUACUUUAACUCAUUAACGCCCAAAUUUUUUUUCCAAUUUCAAAAUUUUGUGUAUGCUGGGUGUCCAGAAACUCUACCGACAAACGAAGACAGGAGAUUCUUCAGAUAAUUGUAAGACAAUUUAGCUCAAUUCGCCUAGUCCGAAAAUGCUUCCUAAAGGAUCUUUUUGAAGAUGGCUUCUUGUAAUUAGUUUUUCUUAAAUACCUCCAGAACGCUUCAAUUUAGAAAAACGAAAAUCGGUACGUAUAUUUAUCUUCCAUAGAUAAAUCGAUUCCAUCCAUUUCCAAUUUCUAGUACCGAUCAUAGGCGUCCGUUUUGGGUAGGGCAACGGUUAUUUUAUCACAUAACUUUUUUGUCUUUAACUUUUAAGCAUUUUUGACACUGGAUUAUUAAAUUGUGAGGUAUUCUAGUACUAAAAGGUACUCUUGGUUUAAGUCCGUAGGACACACGGUUUUCUAGAAAAAUUGAAUUGAAAAUUUUUCGUUUUUUGAAUUUGAAUAAAAAUUGAAAAAAUUUUCAAAGAAAACCGUGUAUUUUAUCAACUUAAAGCAAGAGUAACUUUUAGUACUAGAAUACCUCAUAACUUAAUAAUUCAGAGUCAAAAAUGCUUAAAAAUGAAAGACAAAAAUGUUAUGCGAUAAAAUAACCGUUGACCUACCGAAAACGGACGCAUAUGACCCGUACUAGAAAUUCGCAGUUAAUAAAAUCGAUUCAUCUCUGAAAUAUAAAUAAACGUACCAGUUUUCAGGUUUCUAAAUAGUUUUUUUUUGAAAUUUUUUUUGGAAAUUCAAAAAAAGAAAAAUUUUCAAAUCGAUUUUUCUAGAAAACGGUGUAUCCUAUCGACCUAAAACAAGAGUACCUUUUAGUUGUAGAAUAUCUCACAAUUUAAUAAUCCAGAGUCAAAAAUGCUUAAAAAUUAAAGAUAAAAAAGUUAUGCGAUAAAAUAAUUGUUGCCCUACCCAAAACGGACGCCUAUGAGCGGUACUAAAAAUUCGCAAUGCAUGGAGUCGAUUUAUCUCUGGAAAAUAAAUAUGUGUACCAAUUUUCGUGUUUCUCAAUAGAAGCGUUCUGGAGUUAUUUAAGAAAAACUACUUACAAGACGCCAUCUUCAAAGAGCUCCAGCUCCUUUAGGAGGCAUUUUCGGACUAGGUGAAUUGGGUUAAAAUAUCUUAAAAUUAUCUGAGGAAUCUUCUGUAUUCGUUUGUCGGUAGAGUUUCUGGAUACCCUGUAUAAACGAAAAUAAUGUAAACGAAAAUAUUUAAUGAAAAUAUUUUCGUUUAUUUUCUACUUCCGGUUAUUGGAAGUACUUCAGAAGUUGCUUAUAACUUCCUUUUUUUUUUAAUAGGACACCCGGUAUUUUUUUACAUUUUUGGAUUUUUAUUGAUGUCUUCUUUCUUAAAAUAUGAGGUUUUGUAAUAUUAUACGGGUUAGUUUAAAAGAUAAUUACGUUUUUUUUAUUAAUUUCGUAGCAACAUCAUUCACACCCUGUAGGACUGUACUGACUUGAUAUAAAAACUCUAUUUAUGUUCAAAUGAUUUUUAUGAUUUUUAAUAUAUGUAGUUUACUAUUGUUAAAAAUUAUUAAUACGGCGAAAUAUUUAAUUUUAGUUGGUCGAAACUCAGAAUGCGUAUUUCUGAGUUUUCUUAAGUGGAACACCUUGUAUUUAAGUAUUGUAAUGAAAUAAUGUUUGAUUGUACUUUUUUAUUUCUUAAGCAUUUCCUACACCUAACUGCUUUAAUUUGUGAAUUAUUCGUGAUUCUUUAAUUGCAACAAAAAUUACAUAAAAUUUUAAUAGGUUGGCCGUGAAAAUAUUCAAUCAGAAAUAAUUUUUUGAUAAUAAAUACAUAUUAAUUUAAACUGCUCCUUAAUUUAUUAAUAUUAGAGGAGAUACCAAAAUGCCUGCGUUGUUAAGAUUACUCUACCUAGUUGGCUAUGACUUUGACAUUAAACUUACUUAAACAUUUUUGACAUUAUAUUAUUUUUAUAGUUCCAGUUGCUUUGUUACCAUUAGAUACUAAUAUGAAUUUUCUAAUAAGGAACUGAUUAACUCUAAUGGAUGUUAGCGAUCACAUUUUCCAUUGACUCUCUGUUUCUUGCAAUGUGUAUCAGAGAUUGUAUGUCGUUAAUCCCUGUCCAUUGUCUUAUGUUUCGGAGCCAGGACAUUUUCUUGCGUCCUAUUCCUCUCUUGCCUUCAAUUUUACCCUGGAUUGUAAGUUGAAGGAACUGGUAUUUUUCGUUUCGCAUGAUGUGACCCAAAUACGCCGUUUUUCUUUUCUUGAUGUUUUCGAAAAGCUGGCGUUCUUGGUUGUGAGUAGGAAAUGUAAGUAAAUCAAAGAAUUACAACUUAAAAAAAUAAGUAUAUAAAGUCAUAAGAUUUAGAAAUACAUUUCCAUAUUUUAAUCAGACAACAAUAUUGUUUUAGAAAGAAAACAUUGAUUAUGGUGAAAAACUUUACUGGAGAACUUGAACAAGAGGUAAAUCAAUUUUAAAUUAGUGGAAAACUGUUGAUUUGUAUGUAAAGAAGACAAAGACAAGUUUAAAUAAAGACAAGCUAGCUAAUGAAACAGAUGCAGUGUUACAGAUAUGACAAACAUCUAGAAGAUGAAAUCCUGCGUUCUUAAAGAAAAAAGCUAGUUCCAGAAGUAAGCUACCAAUAAUAAACUAGAGAAUGUAUUACAAGAAAGAACAACGCUAAUACUCAACAUAGCUCAAUUGCUUCAGAUAGAAAAAGAGGAGGAAAUGGUACAACACAAGCGUGCCAGAGAAAAUGAAAGGGCAAAAGAGAGACACAAAAAUUCAUUGAUUUAUUAAAUUUAAAAAUUAAAUUAUACAAAGGACAAUUAAAUAAAGAAUAAAAAAAAUGA
rnacentral:lncRNA from 1 species